rnacentral:tRNA from 1 species
AUUUAUAUAGUUUAAAUAAAACAUUACAUUUUCACUGUAAAAAUAAGAUUACUUUAUAAAUA